GCAAGGCUAAAACUCAAAGGAAUUGACGGGGACCCGCACAAGCGGUGGAGCAUGUGGUUUAAUUCGAAACAAAGCGAAAAACCUUACCAGGGUUUGACAUCCCGCCUGCAAGCCGAUGGAAACAUUGGAUUCUUUUGAAGGUGGCGGGACAGGUGCUGCAUGGCUGUCGUCAGCUUGUACCGUGAGGCGCACCCUUAAGUGGGUUAACAAGCGCAACCCCCAUCCCAUGUUAAAUUUCAUGGGAAACUGCUCGCUAAAAGCGUGGAGGAAGGUGGGGAUGACGUCAAGUCAGCACGGCCCUUAUGUCCUGGGCUACACACAUCCUACAAUGGGUGAUAAACAGCGGGUUCGCAACGCCGCAAGGUGAAGCUAAUCCCUUAAAAGCACCCUCAGUUCGGAUUGAGGACUGCAAUUUGUCCUCAUGAAGCUGAAAUCGCUAGUAAUCGCGGAUCAGCAGGCCGCGGUGAAUACGUUCUCGGGUCUUGUACACACCGCCCGUCAAGCCAACAAAGUCGGGAGUGCCUGAAGUGUCGCAUUUAGCGGCCCCAAGGCAAUAUCGGCGAUGGGGACUAAGUCGUAACAAGGUAUCCGUUCUGGAAGGAGCGGAUGGAUCACCUCCUUUCUA
rnacentral:rRNA from 1 species